UUGGGCCAAACCCAUUUACGCAACUAUCAGAUUUGACCUAGGGAGUAGAUAAGAAAAAGAAUUAACUUCCUGGUUUCAAGAUAGAAAAAGUUACAAGGAGGGUGAGCAGACGUUGGCACUACACCAGAAAAGUAUCAGUUAAUUUACUUUGAAAAAUUGGCACUGUGCGGAAACUUUGGUAGAGAAAUCAAAGCAAUCAGAUUAAUUGGAGGAAUUCGUACGAAUCGCACGAGGUGAAGUAUUUGGUAUUUCGGCACGAGUACUAGACAACAGUUGACACAGGCGAGGAUUUCGUUAAUUAGAG